GUUAGGAAUAUUGGACAAUGGGCGCAAGCCUGAUCCAGCCAUGCCGCGUGAGUGAUGAAGGCCUUCGGGUUGUAAAGCUCUUUAGCCGAUGAUUAUAAUGACUGUAGUCGGAAAAUAAGCCCCGGCUAACUUCGUGCCAGCAGCCGCGGUAAUACGAAGGGGGCGAGCGUUAUUCGGAAUCACUGGGCGUAAAGCGUGCGUAGGCGGCUUUGCAAGUUGGGAGUGAAAGCCCAGGGCUCAACCCUGGAAUUGCUCUCAAAACUGCAAGGCUCGAAUUCGGGAGAGGAUAGCGGAAUUGUCAGUGUAGCAGUGAAAUGCGUAGAUAUUGACAGGAACACCAGUGGCGUAAGCGGCUAUCUGGACGAGUAUUGACGCUGAGGCACGAAAGCGUGGGGAUCAAACAGGAUUAGAUACCCUUGUAGUCC
rnacentral:rRNA from 1 species